GGAAAAAUUCGCAAAAAAUCAGAAAAAAAUCGGGAAUUAAUGUAGGAUGACGUACCUUCGGUUCUGGAUCACAGGGAACCUCCAGGAAGGCCUCCGGGUUGCCACGUCACUAACCGCGGAAAUAUCAAUUAUAUUUUAAAAAAUCAGAAAUAAAUGGGAAAAAAUCGCAAAAAAUCGCAAAAAAUCGGGAAUGAAUCUAGGAUGCCGAUAUCCCAUGAAAUGUGACAAGCGUUUAGGAUCGCGUGGGAACAUUGAUGUCUUUCGAAUAUUGUCGAGGCCAAGAUACAGCAUCACGACCCGUUCCAUCCCAAUACCACCACCUGCGUGAGGUGGACAGCCGAAUCUGAACGCAUCGAUGUACGCUUUUAUUUUUUCAAUAUCUGAAAAAAUAUUCACGUCUCGUAUAAAGAAUCUACGAUGUUGAGUGAUAGUCAAUAAAAACGCCUUCAUCACUUUAC
rnacentral:misc_RNA from 1 species